CCUACGGGGUGCUGCAGUGGGGAAUAUUGCACAAUGGGGGAAACCCUGAUGCAGCGACGCCGCGUGAGUGAAGAAGUAUUUCGGUACGUAAAGCUCUAUCAGCAGGGAAGAAAAUGACGGUACCUGACUAAGAAGCCCCGGCUAACUACGUGCCAGCAGCCGCGGUAAUCCGUAGGGGGCCAGCGUUAUCCGGAUUUACUGGGUGUAAGGGAGCGUUGACGGGGAUGCAAGUCUGAAGUGAAAGGCGGGGGCCCAACCCCCGGACUGCGUUGGAAACUGUAUGGCUGGAGUGGGGGAGAGGUAAGUGGAAUUCCUAGUGUAGCGGUGAAAUGCAUAGAUAUUAGGAGGAACACCAGUGGCGAAGGCAGCUUACUGGACUGUAACUGACGUUGAGGCUCGAAAGCGUGGGGAGCAAACAGGAUUAGAUACCCCUGUAGUC
rnacentral:rRNA from 1 species